rnacentral:rRNA from 1 species
UAGCGAGUUGCAAGACUCCCUACCCAUCGUGAACCUACCGUCCCAUGCUGUCUCGGCAGGGGGCUCCAGGGCGGAGCCCGCGCCUGGUCCUGUACGGGGCCAGGCCCCUGCCGGCACGGCCGUAACCCACGUGUCUCUAGCACCCUCUGAGUGGCCCGCGAGAAACAGUCAAAACUUUCAACAACGGAUCUCUUGGCUCUGGCAUCGAUGAAGAACGCAGCGAAAUGCGAUAAUUAAUGUGAAUUGCAGAAUUCAGUGAACCAUCGAAUCUUUGAACGCACAUUGCGCCCGCUAGUACUCUAGCGGGCAUGCCUGUCCGAGCGUCAUUUCCACCCGUCAAGCCUUUGCUUGUGUUGGGGUUCUGCGGCUGCCGCAGGCCCUUAAAAAGAGUGGCGUAGCCACGUGGCGUGCCGAGCGUAGUAGCAACACCCCGCUACGGCCCGUCCCGAGCUGCAUGCCGUAAACCCGGCUCUCCUCUGGGAAAGCGCUUUAAUUUGACCUCGGAUCAGGUAGGAAUACCCGCUGAACUUAAGCAUAUCAAUAAGCG